UCGGCGCCGGCGGUGGCGCGGCGCCCGCUCAGUUGUUGUUGUGUCAGUGCUGCGUCGGUCAGUGGCUCCGCUCCGCAUCCCCGCACGUCCGACGCUGAUUCACACAGCCCCGUCAGUCGAUCACGCUGAGCCGCCCUUGAAUGAGCUCUCGGAGAGGCCCGCGGUGAAUCGAAAGUGAGCCUCAAGGGAUGCCCUGAGAGUGACCGGAGGUGCUCUGUUUGACCGUGACACCGAAGAGGCCGGCUGCGCUGCCGAGGGAGGACACCUGUGAGGUGUCGCCGGCGGUGUCGGCGGCCGGGGAGGUGGCCGUGAGGCGGCCCGUUUGCGGUUUGGCGGCGGCCACGGGCGCCCGCCGCCAUGCCGCGCGUCUGGGAGCUGCUCUCCUACCUGCGGGGGGAGGGCGACCAGCCCAGUCAGCCUGACUCCAAGCUGCGACAGAUGCGUGAGGCGUCCCUGCCGGUGGACCCUGCCAGCCGGCGCGAGCUCGAUGACCUGGUGGCCACGGUGGGCGUGCAGAAGAAGGAGAUCGCCCAGCUGACUGAUGAGCUGGCCGGGUACCGGGCGCGCGAGCAGGAGGCCGCCGCCCGCCUCACCUCCCAGCUGGCCGAGUGUGACCGGCUCAGGGCGGAGCUGACACAGGCUAGAGCGGAUCUCCAGCAGCGAGAUCAGCAGCUACAGGAGCGGGACCAGCAGCUGUUGGAGCGGGACCAUCAGCUGCAGGAGCGGGACCAACAGCUGCAGCUCAGCACCCAGCAGCUGCGCGCGAGGCAGGCCAAGGUCGAAGACGCCCAGCUGGAGCUGAACCAGAAGACUGCCGAGCUGUCUCGGACAGCCCAGCAGCUGGCGAAGCUCGAGGGCACGGCUGAGGAGGCCAGGGGCGAGGUCGCCCGGCUCAGUCAGCAGACGGCCGACCAGAACAAGCAAAUAGUACACCUCGAAACUCAGCUCAGGACUGCGAAGCUGGCCGUGGCGGCAGCGGCGGCCGCCCCACCGCCGCCGCCGCCGCCGCCCCCGCCCACCAUUGACCCUGCGGAGGUGGAGGCUCUCAGGACGGAGCUCGCAACAGUCCGCGAGAGCCUGCGCGUCUCCGAGACGCAGCGUAUGCAGGAGAUCCGCAUGAUUCAGGAGGCACUGGACGAGGCGCUGAAGGAGAACGCCGACCUGGAGGCCAGCUACCGGCGCGAGGUGGAGCAGCUGAAGACGGUGACGGCAGAGCGCGAGACCCAGCUAAUGGAGGACGCCGAGGCGCGCCUGCGCGAGAUGCAGCGCGACUGGAAACGGCGGCUCGAGGAGCGCGAAAAGGCCGCCGAGGAACGGGCGAAGAUUGCUCGUCAAUCCAUAGAGGACGAGCUAGAGUCGCUUCGAAGUCAAAGGCGGGACAUUGACAUGGUUGGCGGCGAGCAAAAGGUCACUGAGGUGGAGCUGCUGCGCUCCUUCGAGGCAGAGGUGGUCCAGCUGAGGGGCCUCUCGCACGAGCUGAUGAGGGAGCUGCGCGCUGGCAACCGCCAGGUGGAGGUGGCCAAAAUGGCCGAGGCCAUGGCCGCAGACGAGAACCGGCGACUGAACGAGCUCGUCAGAAAACAAAACGGAACCAUCAGCAGCAUACAGAAGGAGCUGCAGCGGGUCCAGGAGCAGACGGACUCCCGGGAGGAGAGUCGCGCUACUCUCUCCGCCCAGUGGGAGGACCGGCUGCGACAGGAGCGCAGCGCCCUCAAGGCCGAGCUGGACGCCCUGCACUCGGAGGAGAAGCACCUGGCUGUGGAGUCGGUCAGAGUUCAGCUGGAGCAGCAGCUCCAGACCGCCAAACAGGACCAGGAGCAGACCGUCAGGAAACUGGAGCAGGAGCUGGCUGCCGCAAGAGACGAAGUUAUACAAAAGGAUGAAAGUCAUUAUUUUGAAAUCAAGCGAAUACAGAAGCAAGCUAAGAAUGACCUAUCUGUUCUUCAAGAAAAGCUGCAGCAUGCGUUCGAGAGCUCGAAACCAGAACCAAUUGUACAACAAAAUGCAAAAGAUCCCUCGCCCGUGGUGAACGGUCGAGGAAGUGAGACCGACGAGGAUGAAGACGAAGAAGAGGAAGAAGAGGAGGAUGAGGAAGAAGGUGAUGAAGAGGCGGAGGAAGAGGACUUCUUUGACGUGGAGGACUCCGAGGCGGCCGGGGAGGAGAUUCGAAGGCAGCAUCGGAGAGAUCUGGAGGUGCUGCUGCGCACCAGUCAGGACCAGAGGGCGGACCUGCAGCGGAUGCUGGAGCGGUACGAGGCCCGCACGGCCUGCACCCAGGAGGAGCUGCGGAUGCUGCACGCGGAACGCUCGGGGCCACACUCUGAGGCGGGCCCCGCGCGGCGGCCGGUGCCCGGCGCAGCGCGACUGGCCGCCGUGCUUACGGCGCUGCAGGAGUGCGGCGACCACCUGGUGCGGCUGAUCGCUGCACGGGAUGAACAGAGGCUGAGGCAGCGGCAUCUCCUCAGCUGAAGGCGAUUAGACCCCAGUCCACACUGCAAGUCUCGCCAGUCGAGGUGGCCCGUUGGGCUGACCUGUCACCGUGUUGGCCCUCGGGACCUCGCGGACAUUGGUGCCCCUCGGGACCUUCCCUCGGCUCACGGUCUCCGUGACAGCCGCUCCCCGGCCCCGCCCCGACAGCGGGGUGACACGGCUCACGGAGGAGCGGCUCAGAAAGGCCGGCGCAUUGUGAGCCCGGCGUACUCACAACGACCACGGCGCUGUGAACAGACCCUAUGUCACGCGAUGGUGGGAUGUAUACUUCGGUGACCAUAUGACUAAAAAAUGGAGCUAUUUAGUGCAGAUGUUAUUAUGUAAGGUACGAGCAAGAGUAACGCAUGGAAGUUAUCGUAAGUGUUGUAGGAACGUUGAGACAGCAAAGUUGAUGUAAGGGUAGCUGGCGCGAUGGCUGUCAUUGAAGGAAAUGGUAAAGGCUGUCGGUUUCGAGUGUUGCAAUAAUGUGUAACAAUUUUACGCAGCAGUUUGGCAGCUUCCAGUGGGGACUUGUCCCAGCUUUUUCUCUCAGGGUAACAAGAAAAGAAAGGGAGACGAUGGUGUGAGGUCCGGCGGCGAUAUUUCGAUAUCGAAAUGCGCAGUUUCUUAUGUGAACAUCAUGGAAAGGUUCCCUGAGGUUCACGCCGUAAUAUGACGAUCGUGUUUCUCAGCUCGAUCCUUUAUCUUCCUUACCUCAAUCCAGAGCCACAAAUUGUAGCCGUUCCUUGGUUGAUCAUUCGAAGUGCUAUUUUCUUCUUUGAAAGUAUCAGUUGUAGCAACAAAAUUGCAUCGCCUUGUGCUGGAACCGGAAAGAAAAUGGGAUGCCUCCAGGCUCCAAUGCUUUGCAAAAAGGUAAAAGUUAUUCUUGUUUGAAGCUUAGCUAUGAGUAAUCAGCAAGAGGCAGUUAGCUACAUUAGAAAAAAAUCAUACCAGCUACGUUUGAAAGCCAUCAGAAGCACUCCAGUUGGUCACGUCACCUCUGGCCAGAUUAAGCUCAAUAUUGACCGGUGCGGGUACUCUUUUCUUUGUCAAAGGACGUCACCCGGUCCCGAUUACGGGAGCUGGGUGCGCCAGAACGGCAGACGGCGCCGCCCGGCCCAUUAACAUUCAGUCGGCGGGCUCACUUCAGUGCGGCGCCGCCUGGUAUGUGAUAUGAGGCCAUCCGGUGCUAUCGCGCGGCCCAAUCACUCUUACCCCCUCCCCCCGACCUCCCAGACCCCUCCUCAUCCCCCUCCCCCAACCCCACACAGAGGCACACCGAACUGAGCUGUAGAAUGACGACGUGGAUAUGAAUAUAAAACAGUGCGGGUAUGGAGUCGGUCCGUAGAAUCAAUUUAUGGUAGAGACAGGCUGUGUCGAUGGUUGAAAUGAACGAACAAGCCGUAUGCUCUGUGCAAUGCACAGAUUUGAGCUGGAAUAGUUGAUUUAAUUACCCUGCCCUAUCUAGUCUGUGUCGCUUUCAGCAUUAUGCAUCCCACACUAUCGUGUGGUAUAGCAGCACAGAAGCGAGUUGUUGUCUGUAUUCGUCACUUUUUACCGUUUUGUACAUUGUGGCUUUUGUAUCAAACCUUGUAGUUAUACCAGUGUGGCAGGUAGCCAGUUGUGUCAAAACGUAACUGUGUCUUUCAGUCGAGGUGUGCUAAAAAAAAAUCUAGGAAGAUGUGAUUGGAAAGGAUGAUUACGAGUUUGCUAUACCAAUACGUGAAUCCUCUUUCAACACGGCUUUUGUCGUUACAACGAGAGUGCCAGAGCACCGCGGCGAGAGGCGUUAAUGACGUCGGCCAGUAGCUAUCAUGGCCCCACAGUCCCUCUCCGGUAAUGUGAAUGAAGUGCGCAUUCACUUGUGUGAUAUGUCGCACCAAAACAUGUCUUCAAGCAUCUCUUCCGCACCUGUUCACGUAUGUCUACAACAUCUUACAUCUAUACUCUACAGUAUUCUACACAUAUACAAUACAUCAAGCUGACAAAUUGUUAAGUUUAUAUAUGAUAUAGCAGUGUCAUAGGUGUUGCAACAUGAUUUUAUGAAUUAGCGA
rnacentral:misc_RNA from 1 species